rnacentral:rRNA from 1 species
AUACGGAGGAUGCAAGCGUUAUCCGGAUUUAUUGGGCUUAAAGGGUGCGUAGGCGGUUUGUUAAGUGGGCGGUGAAAUGCCGGGGCUCAACGGUGGAAGGGCGUCCCGAACUGGUGGACUUGAGUGACGCUGGCGUGGGGGGAAUUUGUAGUGUAGCGGUGAAAUGCUGAGAGAUUACACAGAACACCGAUUGCGAAGGCAUCUCACGAAGGGUUGACUGACGCUGAGGCACGAAAGCGUGGGGAACAAACAGGAUUAGAUACCCUGGUAGUCCACGCAGUAAACGAUGAUGGCUAACCGCUGGGCUUAUCAGUUCAGUGGCCAAGCGAAAGCGAUAAGCAAUCCACCUGGGGAGUACGACCGCAAGGUUGAAACUCAAAUGAAUUGACGGGG